GAUGAACGCUGGCGGCGUGCCUAAUACAUGCAAGUCGAGCGAACAGACGAGGAGCUUGCUCCUCUGACGUUAGCGGCGGACGGGUGAGUAGCACGUGGAUAACCUACCUAUAAGACUGGGAUAACUUCGGGAAACCGGAGCUAAUACCGGAUAAUAUAUUGAACCGCAUGGUUCAAUAGUGAAAGACGGUUUUGCCGUCACUUAUAGAUGGAUCCGCGCCGCAUUAGCUAGUUGGUAAGGUAACGGCUUACCAAGGCAACGAUGCGUAGCCGACCUGAGAGGGUGAUCGGCCACACUGGAACUGAGACACGGUCCAGACUCCUACGGGAGGCAGCAGUAGGGAAUCUUCCGCAAUGGGCGAAAGCCUGACGGAGCAACGCCGCGUGAGUGAUGAAGGUCUUCGGAUCGUAAAACUCUGUUAUUAGGGAAGAACAAAUGUGUAAGUAACUAUGCACGUCUUGACGGUACCUAAUCAGAAAGCCACGGCUAACUACGUG
rnacentral:rRNA from 1 species